GACAGAGGUGCCGAGCGUUAGGCGGAAUCACUGGGCGUAAAGCGCGUGUAGGCGGCACGGCAAGUCGGAUGUGAAAUCCCAUAGCUCAACCGUGGAAGUGCACCCGAAACUGCCGAGCUCGAGUCUCGGAGAGGAAGGUGGAAUGCUUGGUGUAGAGGUGAAAUUCGUAGAUAUCAAGCGGAACACCGGUGGCGAAGGCGGCCUUCUGGACGAUGACUGACGCUGAGACGCGAAAGCGUGGGGAGCAAACAGG
rnacentral:rRNA from 1 species